rnacentral:rRNA from 1 species
GGCGAACGCUGGCGGCGUGCUUAACACAUGCAAGUCGAGCGGUAAGGCUCCUUCGGGAGUACACGAGCGGCGAACGGGUGAGUAACACGUGAGUAAUCUGCCCUUCACUUCGGGAUAACCACCGGAAACGGUGGCUAAUACCGAAUACGACCAGUCUUCGCAUGAGGUGCUGGUGGAAAGUCUUUUCGGUGAAGGAUGUGCUCGCGGCCUAUCAGCUUGUUGGUGGGGUAAUGGCCUACCAAGGCUUCGACGGGUAGCCGGCCUGAGAGGGUGACCGGCCACACUGGGACUGAGACACGGCCCAGACUCCUACGGGAGGCAGCAGUGGGGAAUAUUGGACAAUGGGCGAAAGCCUGAUCCAGCAACGCCGCGUGAGGGAUGACGGCCUUCGGGUUGUAAACCUCUUUCAGUACCGACGAAGCGCCCUGUCGGGUGGUGACGGUAGGUACAGAAGAAGGACCGGCCAACUACGUG